UACGGAGGGGGCUAGCGUUGUUCGGAACUACUGGGCGUAAAGCGCACGUAGGCGGACCAGCAAGUUAGGGGUGAAAUCCCGGGGCUCAACCCCGGAACUGCCUUUAAAACUGUUGGUCUGGAGGUCGAGAGAGGUGAGUGGAAUUCCGAGUGUAGAGGUGAAAUUCGUAGAUAUUCGGAGGAACACCAGUGGCGAAGGCGGCUCACUGGCUCGAUACUGACGCUGAGGUGCGAAAGCGUGGGGAGCAAACAGG
rnacentral:rRNA from 1 species